rnacentral:rRNA from 1 species
AAAAGCCCGCUCGCCGGAAGACCAAGGGUUCCUGUCCAACGUUAAUCGGGGCAGGGUGAGUCGACCCCUAAGGCGAGGCCGAAAGGCGUAGUCGAUGGGAAACGGGUUAAUAUUCCCGUACUUGGUGUUACUGCGAAGGGGGGACGGAGAAGGCUAUGUUGGCCGGGCGACGGUUGUCCCGGUUUAAGCGUGUAGGUGUGUGUUCCAGGUAAAUCCGGUUCACUUUAACACUGAGGCGUGACGACGAGGCACUACGGUGCUGAAGCAACAAAUGCCCUGCUUCCAGGAAAAGCCUCUAAGCAUCAGGUAACAUCAAAUCGUACCCCAAACCGACACAGGUGGUCAGGUAGAGAAUACCAAGGCGCUUGAGAGAACUCGGGUGAAGGAACUAGGCAAAAUGGUGCCGUAACUUCGGGAGAAGGCACGCUGACACGUAGGUGAAGUGAUUUACUCAUGGAGCUGAAGUCAGUCGAAGAUACCAGCUGGCUGCAACUGUUUAUUAAAAACACAGCACUGUGCAAACACGAAAGUGGACGUAUACGGUGUGACGCCUGCCCGGUGCCGGAAGGUUAAUUGAUGGGGUCAGCGCAAGCGAAGCUCCUGAUCGAAGCCCCGGUAAACGGCGGCCGUAACUAUAACGGUCCUAAGGUAGCGAAAUUCCUUGUCGGGUAAGUUCCGACCUGCACGAAUGGCGUAAUGAUGGCCAGGCUGUCUCCACCCGAGACUCAGUGAAAUUGAACUCGCUGUGAAGAUGCAGUGUACCCGCGGCAAGACGGAAAGACCCCGUGAACCUUUACUAUAGCUUGACACUGAACAUUGAGCCUUGAUGUGUAGGAUAGGUGGGAGGCUUUGAAGUGUGGACGCCAGUCUGCAUGGAGCCGACCUUGAAAUACCACCCUUUAAUGUUUGAUGUUCUAACGUGGACCCGUGAUCCGGGUUGCGGACAGUGUCUGGUGGGUAGUUUGACUGGGGCGGUCUCCUCCUAAAGAGUAACGGAGGAGCACGAAGGUUGGCUAAUCCUGGUCGGACAUCAGGAGGUUAGUGCAAUGGCAUAAGCCAGCUUGACUGCGAGCGUGACGGCGCGAGCAGGUGCGAAAGCAGGUCAUAGUGAUCCGGUGGUUCUGAAUGGAAGGGCCAUCGCUCAACGGAUAAAAGGUACUCCGGGGAUAACAGGCUGAUACCGCCCAAGAGUUCAUAUCGACGGCGGUGUUUGGCACCUCGA